rnacentral:rRNA from 1 species
GAAAUGACUGCUAAUACCGCAUAAGACCACAGCACCGCAUGGUGCAGGGGUAAAAACUCCGGUGGUACAGGAUGGACCCGCGUCUGAUUAGCUGGUUGGUGAGGUAACGGCUCACCAAGGCGACGAUCAGUAGCCGGCUUGAGAGAGUGAACGGCCACAUUGGGACUGAGACACGGCCCAAACUCCUACGGGAGGCAGCAUG